rnacentral:rRNA from 1 species
ACAUGUGGAGCGCUUAGAAGUGAGAAUGCCGGUGUGAGUAGCGAAAGACGGGUGAGAAUCCCGUCCACCGAUUGACUAAGGUUUCCAGAGGAAGGCUCGUCCGCUCUGGGUUAGUCGGGUCCUAAGCUGAGGCCGACAGGCGUAGGCGAUGGAUAACAGGUUGAUAUUCCUGUACCACCUAUAAUCGUUUUAAUCGAUGGGGGGACGCAGUAGGAUAGGCGAAGCGUGCGAUUGGAUUGCACGUCUAAGCAGUAAGGCUGAGUAUUAGGCAAAUCCGGUACUCGUUAAGGCUGAGCUGUGAUGGGGAGAAGACAUUGUGUCUUCGAGUCGUUGAUUUCACACUGCCGAGAAAAGCCUCUAGAUAGAAAAUAGGUGCCCGUACCGCAAACCGACACAGGUAGUCAAGAUGAGAAUUCUAAGGUGAGCGAGCGAACUCUCGUUAAGGAACUCGGCAAAAUGACCCCGUAACUUCGGGAGAAGGGGUGCUCUUUAGGGUUAACGCCCAGAAGAGCCGCAGUGAAUAGGCCCAAGCGACUGUUUAUCAAAAACACAGGUCUCUGCUAAACCGUAAGGUGAUGUAUAGGGGCUGACGCCUGCCCGGUGCUGGAAG